rnacentral:rRNA from 1 species
GUGGGGAAUAUUGGACAAUGGGCGAAAGCCUGAUCCAGCCAUGCCGCGUGUGUGAAGAAGGUCUUCGGAUUGUAAAGCACUUUAAGUUGGGAGGAAGGGCAGUAAGUUAAUACCUUGCUGUUUUGACGCUACCGACAGAAUAAGCACCGGCUAACUUCGUGCCAGCAGCCGCGGUAAUACGAAGGGUGCAAGCGUUAAUCGGAAUUACUGGGCGUAAAGCGCGCGUAGGUGGUUUUGUAAGUUGGAGGUGAAAUCCCCGGGCUCAACCUGGGAACUGCCUCCAAAACUGCAUGACUAGAGUACGGUAGAGGGUAGUGGAAUUUCCUGUGUAGCGGUGAAAUGCGUAGAUAUAGGAAGGAACACCAGUGGCGAAGGCGACUACCUGGACUGAUACUGACACUGAGGUGCGAAAGCGUGGGGAGCAAACAGGAUUAGAUACCCGUGUAGUCC